rnacentral:rRNA from 1 species
UACAGAGGUCUCAAGCGUUGUUCGGAAUUACUGGGCGUAAAGGGUGCGCAGGCCGCGCGGGCAGUCAAAUGUGUAAUCCAGGGGCUCAACCCCUGAACUGCGCUUGAUACUUCCGCGCUCGAGCUUUGGAGAGGAGUCUGGAAUUCUCGGUGUAGCAGUGAAAUGCGUGGAUAUCGAGAAGAACACGUAGGGCGUAGGCAAGACUCUGGACAAAUGCUGACGCUCAUGCACGAAGGCGAGGGUAGCGAACGGG